rnacentral:lncRNA from 1 species
ACAGUUGUUUUUCAGACAACAGAGCGGACAACUUUUUCGCAGUUUUAAUUCUUAAUUAAUUAAUGAAUUCGUAUAUAUUUUAUAAGCCGUUUACAUACGCGUUUCGUUUCACGAAUUUUUUUUUUUAAAUCUGACGUGUUGUCAGAAAUACUUUUUUUUUAUGAAAUAACUAAGUGGCAGAAUGAUCUUAUGGUGAUGUGAAAUAAUGAGAUCUGAUUUGAUAUAAUAAAAGGCAAAUACUUUUCAUUUUGGACAGACAAAAAUUACCUUCUUACAAAUCGAAAUAUUCUUACGAGUUAGAAAGCCGGAGCCCAGAUUUUUCAAUUUUAAUUCGAAAUCGUAAGAUACUUACGACUUCGUUAAUUCUUACGAAUAUGUUAAAGAAAGUAAAGGGUAACAUUGUAAAUAUCGAUAACUAACGAGUAAGCGCUAUAUUGUCAUCGACCGUGAACAAUCGAGGAAGAGCCAAACGAACAGUCGGCAAAGAAUAAAAAAUAAAAUACAGUAAAUAUAAGUUUUUAACGUGAGGGGUAAAAGAAAACAGAUUUGUUAUGAGAUAUAUUAAAAAAGACGAGACUUGAGCUGAAAGCUAUCCUAGAGCGAGAGAACGGUUUUUGCCAAGACGACUCCACCAUUAAUCAACUGCGAGCAGCGGCGAAAACCAUAAUGGACGAUUAGAAAUGAAACUAAAAAAAAUGCUUCUCAGCCGCGAAAGAUGCCAUCAAAUGUUGAUACACCCUCAAUGUCUUUAGUAAGUAAUAACAGUAAUGCAGCCUUGGCUGAAGAAGCAGAUAAAAUCAUGCAAGUAGACCUGCCUGAAAGUAGUUCUGAUUAAGAUGAAGCAACUCCAGCUGCUGAUCAUAGAAGCAGACAAUCUUUAAAUACUGCUAAGCCUCCAGCCAUUUGUGUCCCAAACAUCAGUAAUUCCCACUCCCUGGAACUAGAGCUGAAUUCGGGUGCUGGUGAGAGCCACUAUACUUUACGAACAUCGAAAUUUGGAGUGUCACGGUUAUACACGGUCAACUCUGGGGCCUUCUGUGCCGUUAUAAACAAAAUAAGUUCUAUUAAUUGUAAGUUCUGGCAUCAUCAAUUAAAAGAGGACAAGCACUACAGUGUCGUGCUCAAGGGAAUACAUGCAUGUUCCCAAGGAACAAAUUAAGAAAGCAUUUGUUGAUCUGGGAUACAAAACUCUCAACAUGUAUUGCCCGAGAAAGGGAGAUUGGUGGAACGAACCAAUUUGUGAUGGGGAUGACGAUGCGGCUAUCAACCACAAGGCAAAACCUGUUCUUCGUUAAUCUAAAAUACGGAUUAAAAAUGUAUGAUUUUCUGAAGGUAACGUAACUUGGUAGACACAGAGUCACCAUAGAACGCGCUCGUCGCACUUAAGAAGUGCUGCAAUGUCUGAGAUUCCACAUUUUUGGGCACUCAAAAAACUAUUGUCUCCAGGAUUUAAUCUGUGGCAAGUGAGCUGGGCCCCACGCAACUGGCUCUACGCUAUGCACGAGGACAAUUAUUUGUGUAUCAACUGCGGUGGUGAUCAUGCUGCAACUGACAAUAACUCCCCAAGCCUCCCUACUUUUGUUGCUCAUGGCAAUACUGUCAGCUCUUUUUAGCAUCUUUAGCAUCGGUGUAUCUCCCUCCCAGUGAGCCGUUGAUAAAAGCUUAUAUUGAGUCACUUUUUAUAACUCUUGGUGGCAAAUUUAUAGCAGGUGGAGACUACAAUGCCAAACAUCAUUGGUGGGGAAACUCAAGAACCUGCGCUAGAGGCAAACUCAUACAGGCUGCAGCAAAUGGCCACCACCAAAUUUUGGCAGCUAACAUUUUUCUCCUCCAACACACAGACCAUGCCAUGCCAAUGAAGAAGCCUCUACGCUCCCGUUUCCUAGCUCCUGGUACUCAUGUCGAGACUUUCAAGGAACACCUGUCUGAACUAAUCGACUUAAACAUGGAAAUUCAAAUAACAGAAGGUAUUGACAACGCCAUAAGCUUAUUUAUGGAAAAACUGAAAAACUGCUUCACGCAAGCCUUUGUUCAGCCGCUCCUACCUUUUGCAAUAGUUGACCUCCUUCGGAAGUCAGAAAGGAAUUUGCAAGAAAGGAGAUGUCCUAAUUCUCCCAGUGGAGAAUCACGAAAUUGUUCAAGUUUUAGGCUUCUCAGAAAUCCGCUAUAAGAAGCCCAUCUGGUGGUUGGUGCCGCACAUCACAGGACAAAGCUUAUCAAGCAGCUUGGAGCAAAGAUUUAAGCCGCUCGCACUUGCCGAUGCGUAUCAUUGCCGUCUGGUUGCAGAGUCUCUUAAAACGCCAUUUCAAAUGACACUGCCCGCGGAUCCAGUCACUCUCGAAGAACUGAAACAACUUGUUUCCAUGUUGAAGUCAAAAAAAGCCCCGGGUCAUGACCUUCUCGACAAAUGAACGAUAAAAAUCUUACCAGACCAAGCUCUGCGAUUUGUGGUACUCAUUUUUACCAGUGUUUUACUUUAGGGUUAUUUCCCUCAUUGCUAUGUGAUUUCCAAUUCGGAUUCCGGACUCAACACCCGAGCAACUCCAUAGAGUUGUCAAUUUUGCACUAGAAGCCCUAGAAAGGAAAGAGUAUGAGGUAGCAGCUUUUCUGGACAUUCAACAAUUCACCCCAGCUAUUCCAGCUUAUGACGAGCUUUUUGUUAGGAUGAACUUUCUGUGAGACGACCGACUAAUGCACUUCGUGUAUUAAAGCCAUCGAAGCUGGAGUACCUCAAGGAAAUGUGUUAGGCCCUACUCUAUACUCCAUCUUCUUCGCGGACAUGCCAACCCAGACAGCAGUCACUGGAUUAAAUCGUAAAGAUGUGCUGAUUACAACAUAUGCGGUACUGACAAAAAGCAACAGCAAGAGAACUUGGACGCAUUCCAGAAUUGGGCAGAUUGUAGAACAUCUGCAUCAAUGCUGACAAAUUUGCAAACUGCAACUUCACAAAGCGCAUAGUUGCCAUUGUGUCUCACUUAAAGGAAGAGUGCUUGACCACAAAUCAUCAUACAAAUAUCUUGGAGUGAUUUUGGAUAGAAGUUUAACCUUCGGAAAGCAUAUCUCGGCGAUAUAGCAGUCCUUUAAAAAUAAGGUUUCUAAAAUGGUAAUUGCUGCCCGCAACAAGCUUUCCCUCGCCAAAAAGGUUAAAACUUACAAGAGCAUAUUAGCUCCUGGUCUAUUCUAUGCCAUAGACAACUAAGUAUCGCAGCCCAAAGCCAUCCGACAAGUACUAGAAGAUGAUUGAAACGCCACCACCCUCAAGACCUGACUGACCGGGACCUGAGACAAAUCCUACUUAAUUAAAAUCUCCUAAAUAUUACAGCCUAAACAUUCAAUUUCUUAAAUACUCUUAAUCAUAUAAUCUUUGUAAAUAGCAUAGAUAUUAAGAAUAGUUAUAACUGAUACCGAUUAGAUUAAGUUGCCCAAGAAGGGUAAUAGUACGCUAGUCAAUUAAAUUAAAUAAUUAUGUUUAAUGUAAAAAUAAAAUGUUUUACAUAAAAAAAUGAAAAUUAAAGUUGAGCGUUUUAUUUGAAAUUGUUUUUCGUGCAUUUUGCAUUCGGUGCCGAGAUGUUUUCACAAUAGAACCUUGGAUAGUUUUACACACUCCAUAUAGACUAUUUAGGCUUUUACCAAAGACACUAGAAUAACAAGAUGCGUAUCGGCCAUACAUUGGUUUGGCACUAUGCAGCCACUUUUUUGGUGACGGCCAAAAUUGCCCUCUGUCCGCUCGCUUACGCUGAGAGCGUAAGAAAUCUAAAAAUAGAAUCUGCCUGCUUGUGUGAGUAAAAACAAGAGACGAGAACGCGUAUAUGUGUGCGUGUUGUGCUAGAAUACGAUUUUCGGGCCGAAAUCAAUUCUGAUCGAAGAAACGAAUUUACAUAUUUGGGGAGUUUUGGCCAAUUUCGUAGCAAUAUGAUGAAAUUGCGCGCUUUUUAGAAAUAGCAAAUUGGAAUAUAAAAAAAAAACACUGAAUAUGAAAAACAACUGAAUCUAAUGUGCAUUUUAAAUCAUAAAAUUGGAUAUUUUACAUACAUCAUAUUAAGUCAAAUGACUUAAUAAAUAUACUAAAUAAUUAAAGGAAAUGUAAAGGAAAUUAUUAUAACUACUGUAAUUUAGGACAAAAAUUUUUCAAAAAGAAGACAUUACAUUGAGAAAUAAAUAUUUCAUAAAAAUAAUACGAAGUAGAAAAUAUAAAUUUAUAAAAUUAAAAAAAACAUGAAAACUGUUUAUUGCAAGAGUCAUAUCAAAGACACUAGAAUUAUUCUAGUGUCAUUGCUUUGGUCAUAUCUUGAGGCACGAAGUGCGGUCACAAGCACUCAACAAUCAGUGCCCUAUUAAUUUUUCACACGCCGCAAGCUGAAUACUCUAAUGACAAAUAUUCUAAUAUAAAGUCACUUUUAAAAUUUAUUUUGUGAUAUUAUGGUUCGGCUAUUACUAUUCCUAAGCUAUAUUUAAAUAAGAAUAAUCUUAAGGCAAUGCAAAACAAGAAUUUUUCGCAUGGUGCCAAUUGAUCAAAAAUAAUAUAGAUUUAAAGGCUAAGAACUUCUAAGGUGAAGGGCAUAUUUUGUCAAAUUUACAAUGCAUGAGCAUACGUGUGCACACAUACAGCUGUCUGCUAUCACUGUAUGCGUAGAAAAGAGCUGUUCGCUGUUGCGCUCUCCGCUCUCUCGCUCUCGAACAAAAAUUCGAGAGAGCCUUGAGCCACCUCUAGAGCCACGGCGAAAAAAUCGUGUUCCAAAAAAUCGUAUGGCGUUACGCAUCUUGUUGUUCUAGUGUAUUUGCCCUUACCGUGAGUAAUUUCAAAGAGAAAGAACCACCGGGUUUUGUCUAUGAUUUUAUCAAAAUUGUCAGACUCUUUCCCAUUAAUACCACUAGUACAAGAGAAGAGAUAGAUUCUUUGAUUUUUACAGUGAACCCCAUAGAACUAUAUCGGUCACUUAACUUCAACACCUUUUGUCAAGAGCGACACUUUGAGCAAUGUUUGCCAUAUGCACAAGAACAGUUGUAUCGACAAUUUUUUUCCCCAUAGUUCGCCACUUCGUAGUCAACGUUGUGGCCAACCGACUAGCGUACACAGCGUAACAUUCGGCACCAGCCAGGCGGCUGUUGAGUUAUUUACAAAACAUUGCGACCGGCGUCUUUUCGAUUUCGAAGCGCUGGAGAAAUAAGUCCUGGAACUCUUUCCAAGUCAUACCGUUAUACAAAAUUUGCGUAAGCCACUAGGAUGCGCUCUCGCCUAGAGUAUGGCUAAUUUCCUUUUUCUCUAGGUGUAUUUCCUUUUUUCGUGUCGCUAUCGCACUCUUUUCAAGAUUACAGAUAAUAGGAUUAAGUUUAUUCUGUUCUAUUAGUCAGAACAUAAUACUCUGUAGGGGUCUUGCAACUCAUAGUUUGAUCUACAGAGAUUUAAGAUAAGGGGUACGUAGUUUCUAGUGAAUCUGCUUGAAACAGAGAAGAUUAGCUGACUAACCAGAACGGGGCUAUCAACUUCACCACGAAUAAGCUUACACAUAGCUAGGGAUGGUAAAUUAAUUAAAAGUCGUCUACUGAAAUAAGGAGGUAAUAUACGGUUUGCAUCCCAAUUUAGGCGCUGCAAGGCAAAAAGUAAAAAGUUUUUUUUGGACUGAUUUAAUGCGGGCUACGUGGACUAUGUAUUGUGGACUCCAAACUGAUGAUCCAUACUUAAGAAUCGGACGGACUAACGAAAUAAAUAAGGUUUUAGUCUAGUAAGGAUCAUCAAAUUCCUUAGACCACCUUUUUAUAAAACCAAGCACACCCCUGGCCUUAUUGACAACAGUCGAAAUAUGGUCAGAAAAUUUUAGUUUAGGGUCCAGAAGAACACCAAGAUCAUCAACCCGUGUUAUUCUGUUCACAGGGCAGCCACUUAGAGUGUAAGUCGUGCGUAUUGGGUUAAAACGACAAAAGGUCAUAACUUUACACUUUAAGUCUAAUACGUCUAAUAAGUCUAAUACGUUAUCACGGCACUAUACUUGAAAUCGGUCUAGAUCGGAUUGUAAGUCCAAAUGGCACGAAGUGUCCUUGUACUGGAGGCAUAAUUAAACAUCGUCUGCGUACAUAAGUACACGCGAAUGUUUUAUUACUAAGGGGAGGUCGUUAAUGAAUAAGGUAAAAAGAAGCGAACCAAGAUGGCUCCCUUGUGGGACACCGGAUGUGACUCGGAGAAUACAAGAUAGAGAAUUUUUAAGGAGGACUUGUUGCGUCCUGCCAUUCAGAUAGCUUGAAAUCCAAUUCAGAAGAUCAACAGGGAAACCUAAAAGAUCAAGUUUCCUUACUAGAAGGUAAUGAUUAACAGAGUCAAAUGCUUUACUGAAGUCAGUGUAGAUGACAUCUGUUUGAAGAUUAUUUCUGAAACCCUGUAUUACGAAAGAAGUAAGCUGCAUGAGGAGCUGCGUUUCAUAAAACCGUGCUGACACGGUGAUAUGGUCGAUCUACAAUGGUGCUGCAAAUGAAGAGUGAUAAUAUUUUCAAAAAGUUUUGGGAUAGCCGACAAUUUAGAGAUUCUUCUGUAAUUGCUUGCAUCCAGUUUGCUACCUUUUAUAUGAAGAGGAAUCACAAAGGACUCCUUCCAUAUAUGAGGGAACUGUGCAGAUUCCAGAGAUAAGGUUAAUAGUUUCAGUAGAGGCUUGCACAAAGCUUCCGCACAGAAUCUGAGCACACAGCCAGGGAUUCUAUCGGGACCUGGCGAAUAGACAGAUUUAACACGCUGAAGAUCGUUAAGCAGUGAGCUUUCGUUUAUAGUGGGGCAAAAUAUUAGAUUCGACUUAGAUACCGCAUAAGAGUAUGGCUGUUCGGAAUGAGGUAAAGUUAAAUAUUUUGUUUGAAAAAACAUGGCGAAUAGAGCGGCUAUUGCCUGAUCCGAUGUUUCCGUAGUGUUUUCAAAAAAUAGCGAGGAAGAGUAAACACUUGUUUUUCGCUUAGGGCUAACGAAAUUAUAAAACUGUAUCGGAUCCUGUGCAAACUGGAACUUACAACGGUUUAAAUAAUUCCUAUAGCACUGAGCAUUUAGCACGGUAAAGUUUAAACGAGUGCUUAAAUAUUUAGAAAGGAUGUAUAGUAACUUAUGUAGUUACCGCUUUAGUUAAUUACUAAGUACAAUAUCUUGUUGUUUUAUGCCGUAAGCUUGUUGCGCGCGGAGCUGAAGUUUUAGUGUGUCCAGUCUGACGAUAUCAGAAGAUAUCGUCCUCCAGGAAAGGUCUUGGCGUUAGUACCUGUUUUCGCCGUGAUGCCAGACCGGGCUUCAGUCUGGGCGCCACAUCUACUCCCCCUCCAGUGACUUCGCCAGGUGGUGAAGGUAACGGUAUAAAUUCUGGAGCUGCAGGUGCAGGGCUCGGCGGUUUAGGUGGCUGCGAAAUCUGUUGGUCAGUCGGUUGAUCCUCGUGGUGGUCUUCGCAAGCGUCAGCUUCAGCUAAGAAGGCAGGCUUGAGGAGAUCGACUGAUAUGGCCUUCUCUUGUCCAUGAAUGCUGAUGAUGUAGAACUUGUCAUCAACCCGGCGUAUUACCCGAUGAGGUCCCGUGUAAGGCGGCUCGAGUGGUUUCUUAACAGAUGCCACUCGCUUGAAGACGUGCGUACAAGUUCUCAGGUCCUUACAAAUGAAAACAGGUGGUUUAGCAUGAUGCGCUGCAGGAGUAGGUCGGGCUGCCCUGAUAUGUUGACGUAGUUGCUCGGUUAGUCGGUGAUCCUUGCUGAAGGCGGUUGGAGUGUGCGAUUCAAAAAAUUCGUUGGGGAUACGAAUAGUGGUGCCAAAAAGCAUUUCGGCUGGCGAUGACUGGAGGUCCGCCUUAAACGCCGAGCGCAGGCCCAACAGAACUGUAGGUAGGAGAUCCGGCCAUGCUAUGUGAGACUUACACAUCAGGGCGGCCUUGAGGGUUCGGUGCCAUCUCUCCACGAUGCCAUUUGACUGAGGGUGAUAUGCGGUUGUACGAAUCCUUUCGGCUCCAAUUAAUUUAGCCAGCUCAGCAAACAAUGAGGAUUCAAAUUGAGUUCCCUGGUCCGUUGUUAUAGUGAGUGGGCAGCCAAACAUGCAGAUCCACUGUGUAUACAGAGCUGUCGCGACAGUCUCCGCGGUGAUAUUGGAUAGUGGAAUAGCUGCAGGCCAUCUGCUGAAGCGGUCGAUGAUGGUAAGACAGUAGCGUAAGUUACGGAUUGUGGGAAGUUCAAUCAGAUCGACGUGAAUGUGCUCGAAACGAUUGUCAGGAACAUCGAUCUUCUCCAUUGGGCUGCGUGUGUGGCGAUGGAUUUUGGCCCGCUGGCAAGGAACGCAUUGUCGAGACCAGAGGGUGGCAUCACGGUUAAUUGCUGGCCAGACAAACCGCUGUUUAAGUAAUUUUGCAGUUGUACGGCCGCUGGGAUGCGCCAAUCCAUGUACUGCAUCAAAAGCUUGGCGUCUCAGACUUUUGGGUAAAUAUGGCCGCUCGCGUCCACCCGAGAUGUCACACCAGAUGUCUAGGUUGUCGAUGUUCCUAACUUGUAAACCCAGGGACGUGAGAGAGCUCAGCCAUUUCAUCGUCGGUUUGUUGGGCCUCGAAUAUCGCUUGAGCACUGAAGCUAGACGGCAUGCUUAUGGUGUUGAUGCGUGAGAGGGCGUCUGCCACUGCGUUGUUUUCCCCGGGAUUGUACACUAUCUCCGUUGAGAAUUGGGAGAUAAAAUCCAAUUGGCGGAGUUGUCGAGGCGAUGCUUUGCUUGCUUUCUGCCUGAAAGCGUAUUGCAAUGGUUUAUGGUCGGUUUGGAUGAUGAAUGGACGACCCUCUAGAAUGUGCUUGAAAUGGAUGAUACCAGCGAAAAUAGCCAGGAGCUCGCGAUCAUACGUGCUGUAGCCUUGCUCUGCCGGAGAUAGUUUCCUCGAGAAAAACCCGAUGGGACGCCAAAUGUUGCCGACUAGUUGUUCGAGAGCAGCACCGAUCGCUGUAUCGGAGGCGUCCGUUUUAAGGGCGAGGUGAGCCGAUGGGGAAAGGAACGAAGAGCACGUGGCACGUAAAAUUCCUUGCUUGCAGGCCUGGAAUGCACUCUCCGCAGGGCCGGUCCAGGCUAUUUCGCGCUUGUCAUUUUUGGUUGCGCCUUUUAGGUAGUCUGUGAGCGGGAUUUGAGCCUGAGCUGCGUUUGGGAUGAGAUGUCGGUAAUAGUUGACCAUUCCCAAAAACCGGCGCAAUUCCAUGAUAGUUUGAGGCUUGGGAAAAUUGUUGAUUGCUUGCGUGCGCUCAACAGGGGGCUUGAAUCCGCUCGCGUUGACUUGGAACCCUAAGAAAAUAACCUCACUUUUACCAAAUUGGCACUUUUUAGGGUUAAUUUGGAGGUGGUUCCUCUGCAAAAUCUCAAAGAUUGUCUGGAGGUGCUUCAAAUGCUCCUCAUGCGUUGUGGAGAACACGAUGAUGUCGUCCAUAUAGCAUCCCACGAAUGGAAUGCCACGAAGCAGGUUGUCCAUGUGGCGCUGGAAGGUUUGCGCUGCAUUGCGGAGUCCGGGUGGCAUGCCGACAAACUCGAAAAGGCCGAACGGUGUAGUGACGGCUGUUUUCGGAAUAUCAUCUGGAGCGACUGGGAUCUGGUGGUAGGCACGCACCAAAUCGAUUGUGGAGAAAACCGAGCAUCCAUGCAGACGUUGAAGAAUGUCUUCCCCAUGGGGAAUCGGAUAACGAUCUGGAAUAGUGGACGCAUUAAGUUUGCGAUAAUCCCCAGUAGUACGCCAUUCGUUGCUCCCCUUGGGGACCAAAUGAAUAGGACUGGCCCAUUGACUGCUGGAGGGACGAAUCACUCCUUGCUGGAGUAAGAGAUCGAAAUCUCGGCGUGCCGCUUUUAAUUUUUCGCCUGUAAGCCGUCUUGGCUUGUCGAAAACAGGUGGGCCAGUUGUUUGAAUGCAAUGCGCAACCUCGUUAUGAAUGCGGGUUGCUAAAGGCACAUUAGGACGUGUGAUCUGCACAAAGCGACUAAGAAGAUUGGAGUACGGGCGAUCUAUUCCACUGGAACUUUGCACGUUGAUUGUAGAAACGUUGUAGAGUUUUGCUUCUGCAACUUCUCCUUUGGUCGAAACAGCUUUUGAGGGAUCCAUAAGGCGUUUACCCUUGAGGUCGAGGAUGAGGCCGUGGUGCGUGAGGAAAUCUGCUCCGAUGAUUGCUGAUUGGACGUUCGCAACGACGAACGACCAGGUGAAGUUACGCCGUAAGUUGAGACCAAAAGUUAGAUUUAGCGUGCCGUAGGUAUCAAUUAUAGACGUGUUGGCCGCGUAGAGUUUGAAGUCGUCUUUGCGACGAUGCAAUCCCUUGAUUAUCGAAACAGGUAUAAGUGAGAUGACUGAUCCGGAGUCGAUAAGGAAUUUUAUGUGGGUAUUACGAUCGAUUAUGUGAAGUCGGUACUCCUUUGAGAGGCGAGUGCUUGGAGGUCUGCUGUCACCAGUCGCCUGAACAGGUGACAGCUUCUUUAGUUUCCCUGCUGUGGCACCCAGGCACAGGGCGAGGAGCAUUUUCGUGCAUUAGGUCCGAAUUUGGCAUGAUAAAAGCAGACACGUGGUGCUCGGAGUUGCUGCUGGUUGCGAUCGGCUGAGCGAGAAUGGCUGGGAGGCUGCAUGUUCUGCAGAAGAGUUAAAGAGGCCUUGAUGGCAGCGAUGUCGCGUUUCAAGUCGUCCACGACACUUGUGCCAGCAGCCGGCGCGUAUUCGCGGGUGUUACCUCUGAAUUGUGCCGAGGAGGACCCAGCAGCCAUGACAAAAGAACCCGAUUCCUCUUCCAUGAGAUCGUCAGCGAGUGCA